rnacentral:lncRNA from 1 species
UCUCUGUCCCUUACACACCCUUCUUUCCCCCGCAUUAUUACUUAUAACAAUCCAUAGCAUUAAUGAUGAGAGACCAUAUAGCAUUCCUUUCAAGGAUAGAGAAAUAUCAGAGGCAGGCUGGAGUUAGGUUUCAGAGGAACAUGUUCAACAGAGCUCGUCUUGGGAUGGGUCUGAGGAGAAACACAUUGCUCUCCUUUCCUUGCCUUCUUAAACAGCUUCACCUAUGCUUAUGCUUCUCACACACAAAGGACCAUAGCAUGCAUUUAUCUGGGUGGCUUUCGUGAACAGAUAGUGGAC